rnacentral:rRNA from 1 species
GGGUGAGUAAUGCCUAGGAAUCUGCCUGGUAGUGGGGGAUAACGUCCGGAAACGGACGCUAAUACCGCAUACGUCCUACGGGAGAAAGCAGGGGACCUUCGGGCCUUGCGCUAUCAGAUGAGCCUAGGUCGGAUUAGCUAGUUGGUGGGGUAAUGGCUCACCAAGGCGACGAUCCGUAACUGGUCUGAGAGGAUGAUCAGUCACACUGGAACUGAGACACGGUCCAGACUCCUACGGGAGGCAGCAGUGGGGAAUAUUGGACAAUGGGCGAAAGCCUGAUCCAGCCAUGCCGCGUGUGUGAAGAAGGUCUUCGGAUUGUAAAGCACUUUAAGUUGGGAGGAAGGGCAGUAAAUUAAUACUUUGCUGUUUUGACGUUACCGACAGAAUAAGCACCGGCUAACUCUGUGCCAGCAGCCGCGGUAAUACAGAGGGUGCAAGCGUUAAUCGGAAUUACUGGGCGUAAAGCGCGCGUAGGUGGUUCGUUAAGUUGGAUGUGAAAUCCCCGGGCUCAACCUGGGAACUGCAUUCAAAACUGACGAGCUAGAGUAUGGUAGAGGGUGGUGGAAUUUCCUGUGUAGCGGUGAAAUGCGUAGAUAUAGGAAGGAACACCAGUGACGA